GACGAACGCUGGCGGCGUGCCUAAUACAUGCAAGUAGAACGCUGAAGAGAGGAGCUUGCUCUUCUUGGAUGAGUUGCGAACGGGUGAGUAACGCGUAGGUAACCUGCCUUGUAGCGGGGGAUAACUAUUGGAAACGAUAGCUAAUACCGCAUAACAAUGGAUGACACAUGUCAUUUAUUUGAAAGGGGCAAUUGCUCCACUACAAGAUGGACCUGCGUUGUAUUAGCUAGUAGGUGAGGUAAUGGCUCACCUAGGCGACGAUACAUAGCCGACCUUAGAGGGGGAUCGGCCACACUGGGAAUGGGAAACGGCCCAGAAUCCUACGGGAGGCAGCAGUAGGGAAUCUUCGGCAAUGGGGGCAACCCUGACCGAGCAAAGCCGCGUGAGUGAAGAAGGUUUUCGGAUCGUAAAGAUCUGUUGUAAGUCAAGAACGGGUGUGAGAGUGGAAAGUUCACACUGUGACGGUAGCUUACCAGAAAGGGACGGCUAACUACGUG
rnacentral:rRNA from 1 species